AUUGAACGCUGGCGGCAGGCCUAACACAUGCAAGUCGAACGGUAACAGGAAACAGCUUGCUGUUUCGCUGACGAGUGGCGGACGGGUGAGUAAUGUCUGGGAAACUGCCUGAUGGAGGGGGAUAACUACUGGAAACGGUAGCUAAUACCGCAUAACGUCGCAAGACCAAAGAGGGGGACCUUCGGGCCUCUUGCCAUCGGAUGUGCCCAGAUGGGAUUAGCUAGUAGGUGGGGUAACGGCGCACCUAGGCGACGAUCCCUAGCUGGUCUGAGAGGAUGACCAGCCACACUAGAACUGAGACACGGUCCAGACUCCUACGGGAGGCAGCAGUGGGGAAUAUUGCACAAUGGGCGCAAGCCUGAUGCAGCCAUGCCGCGUGUAUGAAGAAGGCCUUCGGGUUGUAAAGUACUUUCAGCGGGGAGGAAGGGAGUAAAGUUAAUACCUUUGCUCAUUGACGUUACCCGCAGAAGAAGCACCGGCUAACUCCGUGCCAGCCGCCGCCGUAA
rnacentral:rRNA from 1 species